rnacentral:rRNA from 1 species
GGUUAAGUGACUAAGCGUACACGGUGGAUGCCUAGGCAGUCAGAGGCGAUGAAGGGCGUGCUAAUCUGCGAAAAGCGUCGGUAAGGUGAUAUGAACCGUUACAACCGGCGAUACCCGAAUGGGGAAACCCAGUGUGUUUCGACACACUAUCAUGUCAUGAAUACAUAGUGGCAUGAGGCGAACCGGGGGAACUGAAACAUCUAAGUACCCCGAGGAAAAGAAAUCAACCGAGAUUCCCCCAGUAGCGGCGAGCGAACGGGGAGGAGCCCAGAACCUGAAUCGG